UUGACCUGCUUAAUUAUGACUUCUCAUUAUGUACUGGUGUUAAUGACCAUGAAAUUAUUUGAAAAGAGCACAUAAGAGGCCAUCAAUACCUUUAGAUUGUGGAUCUCUACUCUCCCAGCACUUGGCCAGUUCGGUGGAGCAUUUACGAGGUAGACAUUCAUUGAAAGGACAAAUGAUAGAGCCAUCCCAACAUAUCCUGUCAUGAGAUAGUAAGUUACUAAAGCACUUAGUAUCAAAUUAUAUGCUGAGUCCUUAGAUGAUAAUUAAAAUAAACUAGACUUCCUCAAUCUUAUGAUAUAAUUUUUAUAUCAUUUCUGUACUACAUUACUAAUCAUAUAUCACCAGGAAGGGGCGUAUAUUCGUUUGAAUCUGCAAUUUUUCAGAAGGGAGUCUUGCUUUGGAACAAAUUAACUAUAGAAGUCAGAAUGACAGAGUUGCAACCUGAUUUAGAAGCUUCAAGAGGCAUCAGAGUCAUGCCCAAUGCAGAGCAUGAGACAAUGAUCGCGCAUAAUCCUUCUAGACGUUGUAUCAACCACUCAUUUGCAGAAAAACUGUGGAAGUAUGGAAUUGCGUUUGCAUCAAUGAGAUAAAAGUUUUCCGAAAUAAAUCUACCUUCUUCUUUAAAUGCUCUGAUGGUUACUGCACCAGCAAUGGACUCCGAAAGUUGGCUUGCAACUGAAGACUUUGUCGUGCCUUCAAUGCGGAUCAACUCAUUCGCAGAAGCUAAGUAGAAUUUCUGCAUAUUCACUAUUCAGUAACAUGAACCUUGAUUUCUUUAAAAAGCAAUUAAAAUCACAAUUCUUAGCAGCGUUGUCAAAUUAUAUACCUGUAAAACUAUGGUAAUGUAAACUGUAGGAAUGACGAGAAAUAAGAUUGGCCACGUGAGUACAACCAAUAUUCCAAAGUUGAAACACGUGUUCAUUGUUGAUCCCAGCGAAAAUGCAAAUUUCGUUGCCAAUUCAAGGUCUAUAAUACUCAGAUCAGAAGAUAACUAUAAAAAGUAUUGGAUGCAUAAGUCAUAUGAAGACCUUAUUAUCGUGCCUGAAAUGUAAUUUUAAACAUGUAGAGAUCCUUACCCGGCUCAGUAUCCUUCCAACAGGCGUCGAGUCAAAGUAGGACAUAGGUGCUCGAAAGAUUGAGACUAUUGCUUUGGAGAAAAUAGUUUCUGAUGCCUUGAUACCUAAUAAUACUACUACAUAAGAUCUAAUGAGUAGGCACAGUAACAUUACGCACCCAAUCCCAGUGUAUAUCCCGUUCAGCAUGAGGAUACUUAUAGCGGGAUUUUGUAGUUCAGCAGCCAACCAAAUACCUUGUACUAAUUGUCCAACUAUAAAGAAUAUAUGGAGUAUAACUGAUAGUGAGAGGUAUAAGUAUCCCCGGUUUUGCUUCAAGUAUUGUUUGUAAGGUUUUAGACCACUGUCUCCGGUCUCUUUUUGUUCUUUUUCUAUCAACUGGUCUCCGGACCCUACUUUAACCUCUUGUUCUACAUCAAUUUUUUGUAUCUCUUGGUUGGAAAUCUUAGGUCUUUGUGGAGGACUAUAACUGAUUCGUCUCUCCAGAUUGGUAGAGCCAUUUUGUGAAAUCAGAAGAUUUUGAAAAUCUGGACUGUGGACUAACAACUGCUGGUACGUAUCUGCUUGUAGGAUUUUCCCUUCAGACAUUAUCUGCCAAAAAGGAGGAAGUCAACUUGAUGGGUAACGAGCAAAACCGUUUUUUCUGAUAAUGCUCCCAUGACAUACUCCUGCAAAAAUCAUAUGAUUUACAUGAGACAAAGAAAAAUAAUCUAAAAAUAGUUUAGAUAUGGUACUGAGGUCACAUUAAAUAAAUUAGUUGCAGUAUGCGCAUCUACAGCGCUGAAUGGAUCAUCAAGAAGGUAUAUAUCUGCAUCUUGAUAUAGUGCACGGGCAAGUUGAACCCGUUGCUUCUGCCCACCACUAAGGUUUACACCUCUUUCUCCUAUUACUGUGUGAUCACCAUAUAGAAGAAUUUUCAGGUCUUGUACAAGUGAACAUCUUUUCAGUACUUUUUGGUACUUGUCUUGAUCCAUUAAUGACCCGAAGAGUAUGUUCUCUUGUAUAGUUCCUGUUUGUAUCCAUGCUGUCUGAGAAACAUAAGCUACCUUUCCACAAACCUGGACCUGGAAAACGUAAGGAAAACCCGCUAAAUUGAACCAGUAUGAGAUAUUAUAUAGACAUUGGGAAUAAAUGAAUGAAUAAAUUGAAAUUCAUAAGUUAGUCCAAUUAUGCAGGAACAUUUUCAAGAGUGCAUGUUAAAUCUUAUGUAUAUAAUUUAGUAUACAUGUAAAAAUGUUAAAUUUGACUCACCAUGCCAUUAGUACUUGGAACUUCUCCGAGAAUUGCAGCUAGAAGGGUUGAUUUACCCGAGCCAACUUCUCCACAUAUUGCAACCUUCUCACCAGGUUUUACAUUCAAUUCUAUAUUCUCUAAAGUGGCCUGUGAAGAACUGAUAUCCCAUGAAAAAGAUGCUUCUUUGAUUUGUAUUGACUGCUCGAUACACUUGCAUUGACCUUCUGUGCUUCCUUUUUGCAGUUCAGGCUCCUCAAGAAACUUCACAAUACGAGUUAAUGCAACCUUUGAUUCAAUAAAAAUUCCUGCAACAUCAGGUAAAAGCCUGAUAGGCUCUUGGACAAUUCGGACUGUUGCAAGAAAUGUAAACACAGUACCGGUAUCUAGAGGAAUUCUCAUGAA